GUUUCUGGUCGAGCAAGCUUUGAGAAAUAUUGGGGGGUGGCGAAGAAGAAGAGACUUGGUCUUCUUCAGCAAGGAUAGAAGAGAGGGCUGAAAAAUAAGCAAGCAUCAAAUUCUAACAUUCAAAUCUGGAAUUCAUCCGCUACUUGGGAUCGAGGAAGAAGAACCACUUACAAGGCAUGAAACUGGAGUAGAGAAGCGCAAGAGACCACGGCUGCUCGAGCAGGCCAAGAGAUCUCACUCUCUUCCACCCUCCGGAUUAUGUCAGAGAGCAGUUCCGGUGGCAGAUA